GUCGAGACGGUCAGGUGCAGGCGCCGGCUCGUGUACGGCAUGUUGGCUUUCACGACGUCCAUGUCCAGUUCGACGCCGAGCCCCGGUUC
rnacentral:tRNA from 1 species